UACGUAGGGUGCAAGCGUUAUUCGGAUUCACUGGGCGUAAAGGGUGCGCAGGCGGUUGGGUGUGUCAGAUGUGAAAUCCCGAGGCUUAACCUCGGAACUGCGUCUGAAACUACUCGACUAGAGUACUGGAGAGGGAAACGGAAUUCACGGUGUAGCAGUGAAAUGCGUAGAUAUCGUGAGGAACACCAGAGGCGAAGGCGGUUUCCUGGACAGUUACUGACGCUCAGGCACGAAAGCAUGGGGAGCAAAAGGG
rnacentral:rRNA from 1 species